rnacentral:rRNA from 1 species
UACGGAGGGUGCAAGCGUUAUCCGGAUUCACUGGGUUUAAAGGGUGCGUAGGCGGGUAAGUAAGUCAGUGGUGAAAUCUUCAAGCUUAACUUGGAAACUGCCAUUGAUACUAUUUAUCUUGAAUGUUCUGGAGGUCAGCGGAAUAUGUCAUGUAGCGGUGAAAUGCUUAGAUAUGACAUAGAACACCUAUUGCGAAGGCAGCUGACUACGGAAAUAUUGACGCUGAGGCACGAAAGCGUGGGGAUCAAACAG